rnacentral:rRNA from 1 species
AAGUUUGAUCCUGGCUCAGGAUGAACGCUAGCUACAGGCUUAACACAUGCAAGUCGAGGGGCAGCAGGAGCUUAGCUUGCUAAGUUGCUGGCGACCGGCGCACGGGUGAGUAACGCGUAUCCAACCUUCCCCCUAGUAGAGGAUAGCCCGGUGAAAAAUCGGAUUAAUACUCUAUGUUGUUCAAUGCAGGCAUCUAAGUUGAACCAAAGAUUUAUCGCUAAGGGAUGGGGAUGCGUCUGAUUAGGUAGUCGGCGGGGUAACGGCCCACCGAGCCAUCGAUCAGUAGGGGUUCUGAGAGGAAGGUCCCCCACAUUGGAACUGAGACACGGUCCAAACUCCUACGGGAGGCAGCAGUGAGGAAUAUUGGUCAAUGGGCGAGAGCCUGAACCAGCCAAGUAGCGUGCAGGAAGACGGCCCUAUGGGUUGUAAACUGCUUUUAUAUAGGGAUAAAGUGCAUCACGUGUGGUGUUUUGUAGGUACUAUAUGAAUAAGGACCGGCUAAUUCCGUGCCAGCCGCGGC